rnacentral:rRNA from 1 species
GAUGAACGCUGGCGGCGUGCCUAAUACAUGCAAGUCGAGCGAACGGACGAGAAGCUUGCUUCUCUGAUGUUAGCGGCGGACGGGUGAGUAACACGUGGAUAACCUACCUAUAAGACUGGGAUAACUUCGGGAAACCGGAGCUAAUACCGGAUAAAUUUUUGAACCGCAUGGUUCAAAAGUGAAAGACGGUCUUGCUGUCACUUAUAGAUGGAUCCGCGCUGCAUUAGCUAGUUGGUAAGGUAACGGCUUACCAAGGCAACGAUGCAUAGCCGACCUGAGAGGGUGAUCGGCCACACUGGAACUGAGACACGGUCCAGACUCCUACGGGAGGCAGCAGUAGGGAAUCUUCCGCAAUGGGCGAAAGCCUGACGGAGCAACGCCGCGUGAGUGAUGAAGGUCUUCGGAUCGUAAAACUCUGUUAUUAGGGAAGAACAUAUGUGUAAGUAACUGUGCACAUCUUGACGGUACCUAAUCAGAAAGCCACGGCUAACUACGUG